UGACUGACGGCAUCACACUUUUUGCACGUCUCACCGUUACACUUGGCGCCCUUUAAUUCAGAAACUGGCUUAUCGUGGCCGUAGGAAAAAAAAAGACUAAUCAGGUGUACCCAAUUUCACACCAAUCUGAUCUCCCACAUCAAACGGGACAAUCACAAUCACGAAGCAGAAAGUUUCAAAGAGGCGUACCAUCUCUCCAUAUAAAUAGGAAAUAAAGGACCAUCGAACAUCAGAGUUUUUUCGAUUCUUCAGAGAAAGAGACGGGCCUAGAUUCGCCGCACGUAGAAUCUCGCCAGGAGCUGAUGAAGGGACGAAGAGCGGCGAGAAAAUCUUCUGCUAUGGUGACGGUUAUCGAUGCGAAACGAUUCCAGACGAGAAUGGUUCGGAGGUUGAUGAAGUUCGAGGAGUUGCCUGGUUAUUUACAGGAUAACGAGUUUAUACACGACCAUUAUCGAUGCCAAUGGUCUCUCAGAGAUACCUUCCUCAGCACCUUCUCUUGGCAUAACGAGACUCUCAACAUCUGGACGCACUUGAUCGGAUUUGUGUUAUUUCUGUGGAUGAUGGUGGUGAGUUCAUUAGAGACGACGGAGCUCGGCCUCGCUGGACUCUUCAACCGAAUGUCCGGAGCGUGGAUGAUUAGCCUCUCAAGCAAUCAGAGUCUGCUUCAUCACGAUUUGAACAUGACACAGCAUAUGUCACUGCUAAACUCUCAAGCAGAAGUGAACCAUCACAACCACCACCAAGAAGUUGUUCCGAAAUGGCCAUGGCUUGUGUACUUAGCCGGAGCCAUGGGUUGCUUGAUCUGUAGCUCUGUUUCGCACCUCUUCGCUUGCCACUCAAAACGUUUCAACCUAUUCUUCUGGCGUUUAGACUACGCAGGAAUCUCUCUCAUGAUUGUCUCCUCUUUCUUUGCGCCUAUCUACUACGCAUUCUCUUGCCACACUAACUUCCGUUUCCUCUACCUCUCCUCAAUCUCAAUCCUAGGCCUCCUCGCCAUCAUCACUCUCCUCUCGCCAGCUCUCUCAACACCACGUUUCAGACCAUUCAGGGCAGCCCUUUUCCUUGCAAUGGGAUUCUCUAGUGUGGUGCCAGCUUCACAUGUGCUUUUCCUUUACUGGGGUCACCCUAAUGUCCUCUUCGCCCUCUCUUGCGAGCUUGCCACUGGUAUCUCAUAUGCUGCGGGAGCAGUGUUUUACGUUAGUCGUGUGCCUGAGAGAUUGAAGCCUGGAGCGUUUGACAUUGCAGGACAUAGCCAUCAAAUAUUCCAUGUGUUUGUAGUUUUGGGAGCCCUUGUUCAUUGUGUUGCCACUCUUCUCAUUGUGGAUUUUCGACGAGCGUCUCUUUCUUGUGGGUUUUAGCCAGAGAGUAAGAAAGAGUCCUUAGGGAAGGAGGUUUAAGGAUUAAUCCUUAAGUGCGUGGCAUCACGUGAUAGGCUAGCGGAAGGGGUGUGUUCCGCGUGGGGGAAAACGAAUCAUUUGGUUUGUCGAUCACGAAAAAAAAAGAGCUCUCGCGAUAUCAAAGACGAUUUGGCGACUGGAGAAGGGUGAAGGUGUUGAAAUGGAGGAAGAAUUAAGAGAUAUGAAAGCCCGGAAAGAUUACUACAACAUGCUUCAUGCCGUUUCAGAUGCGCAACAAGGUAUUCCUCAAUUCUGCCCCUGUGGAGCACUGACGAAGGAAGUCGUUGAUGAAGACGACACAUAUGACUACCUCUCUGGGAAGAGAUACUUCAUCUGCUGUGAGUUCGAGAAUGACGGGAUGCAUUUCAGGCAACCAUGGGUUACAGGUAUGCAACAAGAGGUUGAGAGGUUCAAAAAAGUAUUCAACGAGCAGGAAAAGCUGAAGAGAGAAUGCGAGGCGCUUAAGGAGCAGGUGAAGAUGCUGCAUUUGCGUCUGAAUGAACUUGAGAGCAGCCAUUCGGAGGUGAAGAAGAAGCAAAUGUGAGCCAAGUCACGGGUUGUCUGGAAAGCUGCUGUGUGUUUUGUUUGUUUCUGCGACUGUUUUCAUGUGAACCAAGUCACGGGUUGUCUGUAACCCUUGGCUUUAUAACUCUGUUGUUUCGGCUUUGUAACUCUACUACUCUUCUUCUCAAAAAACUUGUAUCUCUCUGCUUUCAGUUUGUUAUCUUUGCAUCGGAAUCUCUACUAUUGUAAGCUCUCUGUUUCUUGAACUAGAAGUUGUUGUCGGUUUAAAACCAUAGCUCUCUGCUAUUCUUCUA